rnacentral:rRNA from 1 species
AUUGAACGCUGGCGGCAGGCCUAACACAUGCCAGUCGAAUGGUAACAGGAAACAGCUUGCUGUUUCGCUGACGAGUGGCGGACGGGUGAGUAAUGUCUGGGAAACUGCCUGAUGGAGGGGGAUAACUACUGGAAACGGUAGCUAAUACCGCAUAACGUCGCAAGACCAAAGAGGGGGACCUUCGGGCCUCUUGCCAUCAGAUGUGCCCAGAUGGGAUUAGCUAGUAGGUGGGGUAACGGCUCACCUAGGCGACGAUCCCUAGCUGGUCUGAGAGGAUGACCAGCCACACUGGAACUGAGACACGGUCCAGACUCCUACGGGAGGCAGCAGUGGGGAAUAUUGCACAAUGGGCGCAAGCCUGAUGCAGCCAUGCCGCGUGUAUGAAGAAGGCCUUCGGGUUGUAAAGUACUUUCAGCGGGGAGGAAGGGAGUAAAGUUAAUACCUUUGCUUAUUGACGUUACCCGCAGAAGAAGCACCGGCUAACUCCGUG